GACGAGCGCUGGCGGCGUGCCUAAUACAUGCAAGUUGAGCGCUGAAGGUUGGUCCUUGUACCAACUGGAUGAGCAGCGAACGGGUGAGUAACGCGUGGGGAAUCUGCCUUUGAGCGGGGGACAACAUUUGGAAACGAAUGCUAAUACCGCAUAAAAACUUUAAACACAAGUUUUAAGUUUGAAAGAUGCAAUUGCAUCACUCAAAGAUGAUCCCGCGUUGUAUUAGCUAGUUGGUGAGGUAAAGGCUCACCAAGGCGAUGAUACAUAGCCGACCUGAGAGGGUGAUCGGCCACAUUGGGACUGAGACACGGCCCAAACUCCUACGGGAGGCAGCAGUAGGGAAUCUUCGGCAAUGGACGAAAGUCUGACCGAGCAACGCCGCGGGAGUGAAGAAGGUUGUCGGAUCGUAAAACUCUGUUGGUAGAGAAGAACGUUGGUGAGAGUGGAAAGCUCAUCAAGUGACGGUAACUACCCAGAAAGGGACGGCUAACUACGUG
rnacentral:rRNA from 1 species